ensembl:lncRNA
GGAGGUUUAUGUUAGGAGAGCAAAUUAAACUUUUGCUUUUGCCUUUGCAGGGACAGGAGAACUAUACGUUUACUUGUCUCUAAGAGGUCAUCAGCUGGUAAUGUUCUGCCUUCCACUGGAAAAAUAGAUGUAUUCCAGAGGCUAAAAGGCAAAGGACCUGGCUGUGGUGGUUCAUCAUAGCAUGUGUCUUGGAUUAUCCAGUUGGCAUGAGCCUGUGUGACACCCAGAAGUGAAAUCAGAAUAAGGUUGGGGUCAGCAGGAAGAGGUACUGCAGAUUUCUAUUGCCCAGUCUGGUACUGCCAUCUCCAAACUGGCAUGUCAUCCCCGAGCUGCUGCUUUCCCAUUAAAACCAAUGGAAAUUGGGGACCAAGUUCUCAAAGAAUGGACCAAGCUGCCAAUGGCUCCUCAGAGAACAGGAGGGCUGCAGCCUUGAAGUGAUUGUGCCCACAUCUCACCGGGUGCUUCGGAUCAUCAGCACAUCUCAGCUCAGAAGGCAACGUUCAGAAAUGUCACUUGGCAGUGAGGCCCCUUGCUGAAACGCUGGAAGAAGUGAUCUGUGAUCUGUCGGCAGUAACGAGACUGGGCCUUAACUGGCCCAGCUGCAAGGUCUUGACUGGGAAUGCUGGCAGGCAAAGCCAUCUCUUGGAUCUGUAAUUUGUCUCCAAACAUGGCUCUUGAAGGAUGCUAAAGUACAAAAUGUGCUUUUUUGAUAAAGCGAGUGGUACACACGUUGUUACCUCGGGGCCUUUGCUUUGCUGUGCUCUGGUUCCUGUGACCAGAUCCAGACAGGGCAGCCAGAAGAAAAAUGUGCAGGUAGAGAGAAAGAUAAUGUAGUCUCGUGGGCAGCACCGGGCGACCACAAGAGAGGAAGCAGCCAUGCCCUGGCUCUGUGUGAGCUGAGAAAUAACAGAGAGAUGGGCAUUGCUCGUCCUUCCCUCCUGCAGACAGAGCCAGAACAAUUAUCCUCCUGUUUGACUCUAGCAUGGAUGGAACUCUUGCAGCCCAGCUGCUCCUUAUGGAUCUUCCAUGAAGAUAACUUGUCUUAAAGUCCAGUACUCACUUGCAUUUCUUUGCAUCUCCUCAGCCUGCUGUGUGAGUGGAAUCGUUCAGGUGAUCUAUGCUUGCGAUCUAUUCAGUGAUUAAAGGGGCUGUGUGCUGGCUGCUGUUCCUGCUGAAAGAAAAAAGAGAAAAACAUAAAGAGGAUACAGAAUGACCACACUAAGCACUUUAAGCAAUAAACGUUUAUGCUUUUAAAAAUGGGAAAAAAUGACAUUUAAUAAGAGAAGAAAAUGAGAAUAUCAACCCCCAUAAAGCAAAUGGUGUGGAUCAGCACAGGCUCAGCUCUGCCUGAAGUGACUUGGGCUAUUCUGGUGACUUGAAAAUUCUUAUGUGAGGAGCCCUGAGUGGGAUUAUUUGCACCUAAAGCAAUUUCCAGAAUGUGAAUGGUGACCAGAACACACAGAGGCAGAAAAGCAAACGGGAAAUAGAUGGGAGAAAUCCUGCAGUGCUGGGAUGGGCAGAGCUCUGGUCACAUCAUUCACAGAAUAAAAAAGGCAGAAACUCUGAGUUCAGCCAUUCAGCAUAAGAAGUCGAUGGACAAUCUGAACUUGAGUGGAUCAAAAAGCAAUGAAAAUAUAACCAAAAUGGAACUACCUGCCCAAACACAUCAAGCGUGUAUCACAGCUAAAGAUGUCUGUAGCCCACUGAAGGCCCAUUUGAAGCACCGGAGGCUCUGCAUUUGGCUCCUUGGCAAUGCUGCAAUGGCAGCGAUGUGGCACUUCUGUGCUCAGGCUGCGUGGGGUCACUCAGGUCCUUAGGCUGCUGUAAUGUGGAGCACUGCAAAGUUUUUAAUUUCAUUGUUCUGGAGGAGGAGGGGAGGAGCAGCAUUUCCCCAGAGGACUUUUUGCCCAGAGGUGGAGGCAUCUCACACCUCUGCGGACAGCUGAGAAGCACGUGGUCCCUGUGCAGUUUAUGAAGUAAGGCCUUGGUUUUGGAUGUGCUCUCAUUUUUCUUUGUUUUAUUGGCCUCAAUUCCAAUUGCACUGUGAUGUAUUGUGUUACUUUGCAUUCUGAGAUUGUAUUUAGUAAAUCAGUGUUCCUCCUCAGAUCGUUGCCACUGCUUUGUUUUUAGACCCACCUACCACCUCCCUACCCUUCCCUUCAGUGUGAGCAUAGCUUGCAGGUGGUUGUUUUCUUAGCUUCUGUUCAUGCUAGUUGGUACAAUGAGGGGACCAAAGAGUCUGAAAUCAGGGCACCAUCAACAUGCUCUUCUAUUUGCUAGCUCCAUGCUUUCCAGUAGAAAGUGUUGAAGCUGAUACUUAGUUUCACCAUUCUUUGCAGCUGGGCUGUUUAGUCUUUCUUAAUAUUUUGAAAGAGUAAUUA